UUAAAGGCUAUGAAUGGGAAGUGUAGGUAAUUAACAUACUUUUUCAGAGAGAGAUUGCCAAGGCUGGAAGCGAUCUUAAAAGUAUUUACCGAAAGUGCGCCCAGGAGCUUUAGGCUGAAAUUUAUUAGGUCGUUACGGAAGCAUCCGUUAUAAUUGCGUGGGUAUGUUGGUACCCAUAGAGUACAGAUAAGAGUGGAACCGCAGAGUAUACUGCCUCUUAA
rnacentral:ncRNA from 1 species